GUCAUUGAGAGGAAAAGGUAUCAGAAAGAGGACAAUAUAAGCUAUGUGGUUUUUUCGAAUAAGGUGGAGAUGUAUGGUAGAGGCUGAGAACGAAUUCCAUCUCUGCUUUUUCUUUUUUCUUCUUUUUUAGUUUUCUAUUUUUUUUUAGAUUAAGAAAGAGGAGUGACGGGCGGCUCUAUUUUCAUUGCAAAACAUUUAAGUCAUAUGCCAACAUAUUAGAGUUUUAAUUUUAAUCAAUCCCCAUAAUACCCUUGAGCCU
rnacentral:lncRNA from 1 species